CUCUAUGAGAAGCUUCCUUAUUCUUUAUCCCUCUGGGAGUCUGGACCAACAGUCUUUAUGAGGUGUGGAAGGUUGGAGUUCUGGCUUCUGCAAUUGCUUCUCCACUGGACAUGGGUGUUGGCAGCUGGAUCCACACCCCCAGCCUGUUUGUAACCUGGUGAGCUUAUUUGUCUUUCUGAAGAGACUUGCAUGGCUUUCCAUGAAGUAUCUUGUUUACUUGUCAGAACACGGUGAUGAGGUAGUUUGAUGGCACCAGUGAGAUCAAAAGGGUAGACAGAUGAGGAAACCAAGCCUUGGGAAGGUGGAGAAGUCGAAAGUCAGACCUGUUCCCAACCCAAUUUAGCUUAGAUUUCUGUUCCAGAUUCUUACAGGUGGAGUCAGGAUAGAUAUUUUAAAGGGAAGGCACAGAAACUCCAACCUCUGCCAUGCUUCCAAGUUAUCAGUUUAUCAAAGAUUUCCAUCUGUGCCAGCUGCCUUGUUCUUAGCAAUUGCUACGUCAUUUUAUUACAUAUUGUGUGCAUAUGCUACUUUUAUCUGGACCAAAUAAAUUACUAAGAAUGUUGAAACAA